rnacentral:tRNA from 1 species
AAGUGAGAAGCAAAAAUUGCAAUCAGUUUCGACCUGAUCCUAGAUAAAACUUUAUCCUCACUUU